UAGAAGUAUACUUACCUACAUUAUAUUUCUAUUUUAGGUUUCGGACAGUAAUUAUCACAAAGUUUUCGCCAUGUUAACAUUGAGCAUACACUUUUAUAUAGUAUAAAGACCAUUUUCUCCAAUGAACGAACCUGGCUAAGUUUUUUUUAGUUUUAAGCUGAUGUGAACUAAAAUUUAGAGUGUUACAGCACACUACGAGUAUUUCGAAAUUUUUUCGAGUGUAGGUGCGUCCAGACAUUUGGCAUAAUUUUGCCGUUUAAUAGAGUGGUUGUUUCUGUUUCUUUGUGUGAAAAAGUGGUAAUAGAAAUGAUUUGAAUUUCUGGCCUGAUUGGGGGUAGAAGCGUCAGUUUGACGUGAAAAUGGCCUAGAUGGCGACAGCUUGCGAGUGUUCGAAAUGGUGAUUUAAUUGAAAAAAUCUCAUUCAUAUGCAGCCGAAGUAAAAAAUGCAGCAUCGCUCGAUUUUUACCGUUUUAUUUGCGGCCGCUUCGUUGAAUGCCAAUCAUUGAUAUUUCCUCAAGCCUGUGUAAGCUUCCAUUUUUCGAAACACAAAGCACGUUAUGAAACAUGCAUGAUUCAAAUGUUAAAAAUGUAUAUUUGGCAUACAAAAGCAUGUUCCAUUUAUAAUCCCGGUUUUAAAUCGUGGUAACGUCAUCGAACAAAGUGAACAACAAUGAAACGUCUCGUGGAAUAUCUCAGUCACUCACUCCGUGUUUGUCACAUAACAUGCAAAGACGUGCUUUUAUCAUCUUUAUAAAGACGAUUUUUCUUGGGUUUUUGUUAGGCGACCCUGUUUCCACUCCGAACGGAGUUCCGGACGGGGAAAAGACGACAACAGCUCCGUCCUUAUCGCGCAAGGGAGGAACGCCGAACGAGAGAGGAAAACGUCCUUCCUCUUGGACGCCGUGCUGCGGACCCGCAUCAAAACAUCCUAGCUGAGCCGCAAGCGAUUUGAAAAAUGAUCCAUCUCACGUCACAAGAACUGGAGUUUUUAUACUUCUGCCUGGAAGCGGUGUUGCCUCCCAGACAACGCUACACGCCAACAAGAUUCUAAUCCCGGCGGACGACGUUUCAGCAACAUUACAUUCCUGCAUUCCUGCAGGAAAAAUACUCAAUUAAAGCGUUUCUCAGAGAUGCCCAAAAUUUGCCGUGUAAUUACAGGUUCUGAAAUGCGAAUUUGGGCGAAGUUGGUUGAAUCCGGUGACCGGCGCAUUUGAUAUAUUGCCCGUCUGUAACAAUUUGCCACCCGCUGGGAGUCGGCGUCCAUCAAAGCCGUGAAAAAGACGGACCGAUUCCAAGGGGACCGCUCAAUCUUCCUGAUACGCCCAUUCCUAUGGACCCUCUAGACACUCCAACGCCUACAGUUAAAAAGGUCAUUUCUAGCUGGCUAAGAGGGCCCACUGAGACCGCCAGCGCACGCUGCCCCCAGCCGCCAAACAACUUCAAAACAAACCCAACUGUUCUCCCAACUCUCUAAAUAAAUCCACAAAAAAUUAAA